ACUAAUGAUUUUCAUAAAAAAAGUCGGUCGUUUAUUAUUUUAAAGUCUUCGGCUGAGGCGCAGCAUCGUUCGGUUGCCUAUAAAUAAGCUAAAUGUUGUAUAACUUAAAUCCGAUCCUUUCUAGUCUCCUGCUAUUUAGGAGCUAUAGUGGCCAUUAAACCUUGCAGUUCUUUUAUUUGGGCAAAUUUAAUGGCAACGGAUAACUAAGAUGGGACUCGAGCCUAGCGUUCUUUUGAGUAUAAGGCAGAUGCUCAGUAAUGCAUUUCUUCUACUUUUUACUGCGAUGGCUCCACGUCAGGCUGGUCGCUGUGAUACAAGGAGAUUUCGGCUCAACAACGUUGCCGUUUUGGGCAUGUUAUCUAGGCGCAAUGCACUUAGUUUAAAUAUGCAACCACAUUUAUGUUAGGCACAAUAUACCUAAAUAUAAAAUAACGCCUGCCGUGGCCAGGGCCCCGUUGCUUUCGACAACUUGGAUGAAGAUGAAGCUGUGAAGACGGACUGUGAACUACGUUGGGCGAACAUUACCCAAACUCAUUUGUUGCUUCUCUUAAUAUUCUGCUAAUCUUGCGAGGAUUAACUGGAUACGGAGAGCGCACCAGCUAUCUUUCGCGCUGACUGCGAUGAUGGUGCCUGAACAGACUGCUGGCAGUGUAACAAAGUGAUUUUGUAUCAACAUCUUGGUUAUAGCCAGGUCGAGUUUGCACAUGUUGCACGUCUUCCACUAACCUUAAUGUAAUUAAGGUAAUUCCAUUGUGAAACCGGAAAAAGGCUGUUUGCUUUUCCUCUAUCGCCGUGACCAAGAUCUCCGUUGUAAUUUCCAGCCCCCAGCUAAAGGUGAAGCUACAGGAUGUGAACUAUAUUGGAUAUCCUGUGCCGGCGACUAUGCCGCUGCCAUGCGUUCCAAAUUUACCGGUACUCAUGGCUAAAUUUAAGCAGAGUUCUGUUAAAAAAUUGCGUUUUCAUGACGGUCAGCGACUGGAGUCCAUAACUUCUAUAUGCGAUCGACGAAGAUGAUCUUUGCGCUCGGCUAGUACAAGGUCCUUUGAAAAACUCAAAGCGUAAACCUUUUAUGAUUUUGGUGCCUCUGGAUAAGGAUCAUCACCAUUCGGUUCCCUAUCAUAUCUUUUGCGCUUGAGUGGCAAUUCAAUAGUGCACAUUACCCAAGCACAUUUGAAGACGUUGAAGUCGCAAUUCUUGGGAGGAUUAAGUGAAAGAGAGAAGGCUAUUCGCUGUGAUACUAGGCAAUUUUGGAUCUACAGCUUUUCCGUUUUGUGUAUGCCGAGCUUGCCGAAUGGAAGGUAUUUGCACUAUUUGGACUCAGGUAUGAGGCCACGGGCCGGGAAUUACGCUGGAUUUCUUGUGUUUUCGACUCUGCGCUGCCACGCCCUACAAAUUUGCUGGUACUUUCAACAAAUUUGCAGGAUUCAAGGACUCUUAUCGAUUCUAAGGACUUUUACGAAUCUAACGAGGUUACUGCUUCCAGGAUCGGACGUUUAUUAUGCCAGAUAUUAUCAUUUUUAGUUCAAAUUAAAAACACAUAC